rnacentral:rRNA from 1 species
UACGUAGGGGGCGAGCGUUGUCCGGAUUUAUUGGGCGUAAAGAGCUCGUAGGCGGUUUGUCGCGUCUGCUGUGAAAACCUAAGGCUCAACCUUGGGCUUGCAGUGGGUACGGGCAAACUAGAGUGCGGUAGGGGUGACUGGAAUUCCUGGUGUAGCGGUGGAAUGCGCAGAUAUCAGGAGGAACACCGAUGGCGAAGGCAGGUCACUGGGCCGCAACUGACGCUGAGGAGCGAAAGCAUGGGGAGCGAACAGG